rnacentral:rRNA from 1 species
CCUACGAGCGGCAGCAGUGAGGAAUAUUGGUCAAUGGGCGGGAGCCUGAACCAGCCAAGUCGCGUGAGGGAAGACGGUCCUAUGGAUUGUAAACCUCUUUAGGCGGGGAGCAAUGCCGGGCACGCGUGCCCGGAGGGAGAGUACCCGCAGAAUAAGCAUCGGCUAACUCCGUGCCAGCCGCCGCGGUAAUACGGAGGAUGCGAGCGUUAUCAGGAUUUAUUGGGUUUAAAGGGUGCGUAGGCGGAUUUUUAAGUCAGCGGUAAAAUGUCCGGGCUCAACCCGGGCCGGCCGUUGAAACUGGGGAUCUUGAGUGGGCGAGAAGUAUGCGGAAUGCGUGGUGUAGCGGUGAAAUGCAUAGAGAUCACGCAGAACUCCGAUUGCGAAGGCAGCAUACCGGCGCCCGACUGACGCUGAGGCACGAAAGCGUGGGGAUCGAACAGGAUUAGAUACCCCAGUAGUC